rnacentral:lncRNA from 1 species
CUCUAUGGGUAUAGAUCCCUCUUUAUUUAUAAGUUUUCAAUUAUCUUUUUGAUUAUUUUCAUCCAUUAAAUCAUAUUAUUCAACCAACUGCUGACUCAAUCCUAGAAACCGCUAUCAUUCUAACCUGGAACCAUUAUUAUCCUAACUGCACAUCUCUUCAUUCAAUUGUCGAAAGUUUAUAAGUACAAAGAGAUUUAUACUUAUAAAAAUAUAGUAAUAGCCCUAGCUAGCUACUACCUAUUCGGUUUGAUCCAAACACGAUUUUUUUGGUAGACCCUAACAAAAUUCCAAAUUAAGUAUAUU